rnacentral:rRNA from 1 species
UACGUAGGGUCCGAGCGUUGUCCGGAAUUAUUGGGCGUAAAGAGCUCGUAGGCGGUUUGUCGCGUCUGCUGUGAAAUCCCGAGGCUCAACCUCGGGCCUGCAGUGGAUACGGGCAGACUAGAGUCAGGUAGGGGAGAACGGAAUUCCUGGUGUAGCGGUGAAAUGCGCAGAUAUCAGGAGGAACACCGGUGGCGAAGGCGGUUCUCUGGGCCUGUACUGACGCUGAGGAACGAAAGCGUGGGGAGCGAACAGG